rnacentral:rRNA from 1 species
AGCGUACACGGUGGAUGCCCUGGCAGUCAGAGGCGAUGAAGGACGUGCUAAUCUGCGAUAAGCGUCGGUAAGGUGAUAUGAACCGUUAUAACCGGCGAUUUCCGAAUGGGGAAACCCAGUGUGAUUCGUCACACUAUCAUUAACUGAAUCCAUAGGUUAAUGAGGCGAACCGGGGGAACUGAAACAUCUAAGUACCCCGAGGAAAAGAAAUCAACCGAGAUUCCCCCAGUAGCGGCGAGCGAACGGGGAGCAGCCCAGAGCCUGAAUCAGUGUGUGUGUUAGUGGAAGCGUCUGGAAAGGCGCGCGAUACAGGGUGACAGCCCCGUACACAAAAAUGCACAUGCUGUGAGCUCGAUGAGUAGGGCGGGACACGUGGUAUCCUGUCUGAAUAUGGGGGGACCAUCCUCCAAGGCUAAAUACUCCUGACUGACCGAUAGUGAACCAGUACCGUGAGGGAAAGGCGAAAAGAACCCCGGCGAGGGGAGUGAAAAAGAACCUGAAACCGUGUACGUACAAGCAGUGGGAGCCUCUUUUAUGGGGUGACUGCGUACCUUUUGUAUAAUGGGUCAGCGACUUAUAUUCUGUAGCAAGGUUAACCGAAUAGGGGAGCCGAAGGGAAACCGAGUCUUAACUGGGCGUUAAGUUGCAGGGUAUAGACCCGAAACCCGGUGAUCUAGCCAUGGGCAGGUUGAAGGUUGGGUAACACUAACUGGAGGACCGAACCGACUAAUGUUGAAAAAUUAGCGGAUGACUUGUGGCUGGGGGUGAAAGGCCAAUCAAACCGGGAGAUAGCUGGUUCUCCCCGAAAGCUAUUUAGGUAGCGCCUCGUGAAUUCAUCUCCGGGGGUAGAGCACUGUUUCGGCAAGGGGGUCAUCCCGACUUACCAACCCGAUGCAAACUGCGAAUACCGGAGAAUGUUAUCACGGGAGACACACGGCGGGUGCUAACGUCCGUCGUGAAGAGGGAAACAACCCAGACCGCCAGCUAAGGUCCCAAAGUCAUGGUUAAGUGGGAAACGAUGUGGGAAGGCCCAGACAGCCAGGAUGUUGGCUUAGAAGCAGCCAUCAUUUAAAGAAAGCGUAAUAGCUCACUGGUCGAGUCGGCCUGCGCGGAAGAUGUAACGGGGCUAAACCAUGCACCGAAGCUGCGGCAGCGACGCUUAUGCGUUGUUGGGUAGGGGAGCGUUCUGUAAGCCUGUGAAGGUGUGCUGUGAGGCAUGCUGGAGGUAUCAGAAGUGCGAAUGCUGACAUAAGUAACGAUAAAGCGGGUGAAAAGCCCGCUCGCCGGAAGACCAAGGGUUCCUGUCCAACGUUAAUCGGGGCAGGGUGAGUCGACCCCUAAGGCGAGGCCGAAAGGCGUAGUCGAUGGGAAACAGGUUAAUAUUCCUGUACUUGGUGUUACUGCGAAGGGGGGACGGAGAAGGCUAUGUUGGCCGGGCGACGGUUGUCCCGGUUUAAGCGUGUAGGCUGGUUUUCCAGGCAAAUCCGGAAAAUCAAGGCUGAGGCGUGAUGACGAGGCACUACGGUGCUGAAGCAACAAAUGCCCUGCUUCCAGGAAAAGCCUCUAAGCAUCAGGUAACAUCAAAUCGUACCCCAAACCGACACAGGUGGUCAGGUAGAGAAUACCAAGGCGCUUGAGAGAACUCGGGUGAAGGAACUAGGCAAAAUGGUGCCGUAACUUCGGGAGAAGGCACGCUGAUAUGUAGGUGAAGUCCCUCGCGGAUGGAGCUGAAAUCAGUCGAAGAUACCAGCUGGCUGCAACUGUUUAUUAAAAACACAGCACUGUGCAAACACGAAAGUGGACGUAUACGGUGUGACGCCUGCCCGGUGCCGGAAGGUUAAUUGAUGGGGUCAGCGCAAGCGAAGCUCUUGAUCGAAGCCCCGGUAAACGGCGGCCGUAACUAUAACGGUCCUAAGGUAGCGAAAUUCCUUGUCGGGUAAGUUCCGACCUGCACGAAUGGCGUAAUGAUGGCCAGGCUGUCUCCACCCGAGACUCAGUGAAAUUGAACUCGCUGUGAAGAUGCAGUGUACCCGCGGCAAGACGGAAAGACCCCGUGAACCUUUACUAUAGCUUGACACUGAACAUUGAGCCUUGAUGUGUAGGAUAGGUGGGAGGCUUUGAAGUGUGGACGCCAGUCUGCAUGGAGCCGACCUUGAAAUACCACCCUUUAAUGUUUGAUGUUCUAACGUUGACCCGUAAUCCGGGUUGCGGACAGUGUCUGGUGGGUAGUUUGACUGGGGCGGUCUCCUCCUAAAGAGUAACGGAGGAGCACGAAGGUUGGCUAAUCCUGGUCGGACAUCAGGAGGUUAGUGCAAUGGCAUAAGCCAGCUUGACUGCGAGCGUGACGGCGCGAGCAGGUGCGAAAGCAGGUCAUAGUGAUCCGGUGGUUCUGAAUGGAAGGGCCAUCGCUCAACGGAUAAAAGGUACUCCGGGGAUAACAGGCUGAUACCGCCCAAGAGUUCAUAUCGACGGCGGUGUUUGGCACCUCGAUGUCGGCUCAUCACAUCCUGGGGCUGAAGUAGGUCCCAAGGGUAUGGCUGUUCGCCAUUUAAAGUGGUACGCGAGCUGGGUUUAGAACGUCGUGAGACAGUUCGGUCCCUAUCUGCCGUGGGCGCUGGAGAACUGAGGGGGGCUGCUCCUAGUACGAGAGGACCGGAGUGGACGCAUCACUGGUGUUCGGGUUGUCAUGCCAAUGGCACUGCCCGGUAGCUAAAUGCGGAAGAGAUAAGUGCUGAAAGCAUCUAAGCACGAAACUUGCCCCGAGAUGAGUUCU